rnacentral:rRNA from 1 species
AUGAACGCUAGCGGCAGGCCUAAUACAUGCAAGUCGAACGGUAACAUGAGUAGCAAUACUUGAUGACGAGUGGCGCACGGGUGCGUAACGCGUAUGCAAUCUACCUUUAACUGGUGAAUAGCCCGAAGAAAUUCGGAUUAAUACACCAUAGUAUAUUUGAAUGGCAUCAUUUAAAUAUUAAAGUUCCAACGGUUAGAGAUGAGCAUGCGUGACAUUAGCUAGUUGGUGAGGUAAUGGCUCACCAAGGCUACGAUGUCUAGGGGAUCUGAGAGGAUUAACCCCCACACUGGUACUGAGACAGGGACCAGACUCCUACGGGAGGCAGCAGUAAGGAAUAUUGGACAAUGGUCGCAAGACUGAUCCAGCCAUGCCGCGUGCAGGAUGACAGCCCUAUGGGUCGUAAACUGCUUUUGUGCGAGAAAAAACCACUUUACGUGUAGAGUGCUGAUUGUAUCGUAAGAAUAAGGAUCGGCUAACUCCGU